GAGGGUGUAGCUCAGUGGUAGAGUAUGUGCUUAGCAUGCACAAGGCCCUGGGUUCCAUCCCCAGCACUGCCA
rnacentral:tRNA from 1 species